CGACUCAGCAUCUGUGCCCCGUGGGACUGAAGGGAGCUCUGGGAAGCCCCCAGGCUGACCAUAACGCAGCUCCUUUCCGGGGCUGCAGCCUGGGUUCUUAGGGGGCAGCUUGUGAAGUGGCUUCCUCUCGGAGUCCUGAAGGGUGACAUCUCUAACGCUGUCCCUCUGCGGGCCCAGAGAUGGGAAAGCCAGGUCUUCCAUCAACUCUGUUGAUGUCUUGGCUAUUCUCAGCCAGUCCACGUCCUUCUCUUUUUAAAAGAUUCCCAGGUACAGAAAAAGCACGGUGGGCUUUCCCUUGACUUCUUUCUCUCCACAUUUCCUCCUUCCAGACUCCCCUGAACCCUUAGUGACUGGCUUUGGUAUCCAGCUGUGUAUUUUGGAAAUCCCUAGCUCAGCGCUUUAGGAUUCACCUUGAAAUACCAAGGGAAGAGGAAGAAGAAUUUGAAAAAUCCCGUCUCAGAAUAAUGGUCUGGCCUCUCAGGCAGGAACUUUCUGCAUAACCUUAUUUUGAAUGACCAAAGCUCAGCAUUGCCUGGGUGUCUCUUGGGAUUCCUCCUGUAACCGAGUUGAAUCUGCCCACAAUUUUCCCCUCUCCCCAUCUCAUCACGCCUCCUCCCCCUGCAGCCAGAUAUCUAGGGAGAACAGGGAGAGUGGGAACCGGAAGAGAAAGCAUGUUACUGCCUUGAAAUGGGAUCCCCCUUCCCCUGUCUUGCAGUCUGAAGAACUCUGUUCUCAUCAGGUCCAAAUCACUUAGCUUUUCUUCUUUCUCUUAUUGUUCUGUUAAAGCUCCAGCUAUCUAUCUCUACUCUCAUCACUCCCCAGCACACCUCAGUCCACCCUACAUACAGUAUCGUCUCCAGUCCUGCACCUUCAGAUGAGUCGCCUCCAGUGCCCGAAGCAGCCUCCUCACCCUCUGUGUAUCAAGACUGACCUGUGCCCCAGCUAAUCUCUUGGGGAAGAGCAGUGCCUGAUAUAAGGCAAUUAUUACCAUAAGAAGUGACCCCUCCCCUAACUGCCCCCUUUACUGGGUCCAGGGGAGAAGUCUUCUGCACAGAACCCACAAGAGUUUCUACCAAGGGACCAUCUGAAAAACAACUCUAGCCAAAGGAAGCUGUUCAAACACCAUCCAUUUUGACACUUGGCUGGAUUAGCAAGCACCUCUUCCCUCAGAGAGUGGGAAAAUUUCCAGAAUUAGUCUGCCGGCAGAAAGGGAGGUUGAGCAAACAGGCAUAUUGUUUUUUCAUAGCUGUCUCUCUUGCUAAUGUUUGGUCAGCCAGCCGUGCAUUUUUGCAGUGUUACAUAGGCUUACGCUCAGCCUUCAUCAGAGAACAAUUAGGACGAGUGUGGGGGAGGCCACAGGGUCAGGGAUGACAGAUGGGCCUCCACUUAAGCAGGUUAGAAGUUCAGUUGCUCAGGAGGAAGAAGACCCAUCUUUGUCUGGGGAGCACAGGGUUGGGUAGAAAGGGGAAGAAUGGAAAUAAGGCAGAAGGCCUCUCUUUUCUGAAAUAUCCCUUAGGGAUAAGUCCCUAUAUCUUAAGCAGUUGUUUUAGUUUUCCCUGAAGAAGCAUCAGCGGCCCUGGCUGAAUCAAGAAGCCAGAGGCCUGGUGCCAUUCUAAAAUAGCAGCAUUGCUAUGCUUUCCAACUGAGGGAUUACUCCUUGGUGAGCCAGAGAGCUUUGGAACAUCGUUUGGAAGCAAAACCACAUUUUUUUCAAAAAGAAUUUUUUUUAAAGGAAAUUUUACAUGCAGUGAAGUCAAGGCUUAACUCUUGAGAGGAAGCAGUACAGGGACAGUCAUUGGGUCUUUGCUGAUGGAACGCUUGCUCUGAGUGGAGGGUGAGUUUUUCUUUGGUGAAAGGUCAGUUGAGGUGCCUAUGAGAGGGGAGGGGCAGAGGGUACUGUUUUUUAGAAGGGUUGGUUAGGAGGAGGAAAGUACUGGUAGUUGGUAGAAAAGUACAGAAAGUAGAAAGAGAAUUCUGUGAGUUAGCCUUUGCAGCAUAACAAACUGCCUCGAAACUAUGUGGCUGAAAACAACCAUUUUAUUUGCUCAGGGUUCUGUGGGUCAGGGAUUGGGUUUGGGCUCAGUUAGGUGGUUCUUCUGCUCAUCUCACCUGGGGGUCAUUCUUCUGGCUGCAGUCAUUUGACAGCUCAAAAUGGGGUUGGAUAGUCUAAGUUAGCCUUACUUCUCUAGCAACAGAUGCUGGCUGUUAGCUGGGCCAUGUGUCUCCAGAGACCAGCCUUGGCUUCUUCACAUGGUGUCUGGGUUCUAAAAGCAGCAAGAGAGAGGAAAAGGCUGACCUCACAAUGGUUUUUCAAGUCUUGUCUCUUGUCCUGCACCCUCAGGUAAAGGCCACACUUUGUCCCAUUCCCCUGAUGCACAGCACAUGGGAUAUUUACUGUCCUAUUAGCAAAAGCAAGUCGUACAAGCUCCAAGUCAAUGUGGGUGGGGACUGGACAAGAGUAUGGAUACAGGAGGAAGCCCUGGCUCCAUUGGAAGCCAUCACUGUAACUGCCAACCCACAAGGGAAGUACAUCUUAAAUGGACUUGGACACCCUAAGCUCAGUGGGAUGCAAACCAUGUGAAUCAGAGUUAUGAGCUAAAGUUGAGGAAAAAAGACCAGAGAAUCAUCUUGUUGAGUUUUGGAACAAGCCAGCUCUGUCCUGGGGAUGCUGGGGUAGGGAGACACUGGGAUUAGUAAGACUUGAAUAACUCUAGUGAGAAUCAUUUUUAGCAUCUCAUAAAAUUUAUAAGUGUCCUCUUCUUCCACAUUUACAUUUAUAUCCAAAUAGAUAUGACCUGAGACUCCUCAGGCCUCCCCAGACUAUAGGAAAGAUGGUAGUAUGGCCAUAGAGUCUAAAUGGAAAAGCAGACACCAUUUCCAGGUUUUACAACAGAAGCAAUGGUUUAUGCUGGUGAUGGAAGGGCAGAGGACCAAAGGGAACAGUGCAACAGCCCAGGGAUGAGCAAUGGCAGGAGGUCACUACUUCUCUGAGAUUGGAGAGGCAAAGAGAAGACACCAACUAAUAGAGUCCAGAGACCAGGGUGACAUGGUACAAACUACAGUCAUAAUGGACCUGUCUGAUGGGAGCUGGAGCCAUGGAGAAGACAGAGCCACUGAGGGAGAAGCCACCCAAGACUGAGAGGGAGUAAGAGCAGAAGCCUGGCUUCUUCCUUCCUUCCAACCCCUCAUCUCCUGCCAGUGCCUUUUAUGGGCUGCACCUGGCCAGAACCCACUACUCUAGGAGCCUCUGAAACACAGCCUGCAAGGGUAGCCCCCUGUAAUAGACAGUAGGAGCAAUUCAAGGAAUGGAUCUGGGGCGGAGAGGCCCAGGACCAGCCCAUGGAGCACAUUCACAGUAAUAACCCAAAUAUUACCCCUGCUUUAUCAAGUAAGACUCUUUCCUCCCCACACAGUCCCACUGUAAUUUCUGUGCAUCUCUGUGGGUAUUUCUUAUGAGCAUAAGAAAAACUUUGAGGUUGACAUCCAAAAGCCAUUGAGAAGGGGCGUCUCCCAGCCUGAGAAUGCUGCUCUGCCCAGGCUGCUGUCUUCUGCCACCCUGAGGCUGAAAACACUGAUGUGUCAAUGUGGUACUGAACACUCCCACAUCCUCCUUGAGACUGAACCUCACUAGCCCACUCAGAAGUGGAGAGAUGCCUUUUCCACCCUGCCAUUCUCUUUAUAACAGUCCUUUAUAAAAAUAAUUCAUUCAGCCCCUCCUCAGACACUAUCUCUGAGACCAGGUCGAGGAGCACUGUACAAGGCUGACUCCCCAUUCCCCCAUCUGGUAGCAUCUGACCAAACCAUUCCCACAUCCACCUUCCACCAGCAUACCUCCCUGCAAAUCCACUCCUGGAUGUUCACCUCCCCUUUACCAGACACAUCCAGUCAUACAUGGAUAAAUCCCUGAUGGGUUUGAGCUGGGACCACACACUCAAACACACAUGCGUGCAUGCAUACAUAUGUACACACAAGUAUGUGCUCACAUCAUUACUACCACAACCUCUGCAAGAGUGCACAAGAAAUGAGAAAAAUGAUCACUGAUUAACACCUCCAAUGUGUCACAUAGUUUAUACUUAACUCCUUUACUCCUGAAGAAAACCCUACAAAUAGGCCUGAUUCUCAUUUACAGGUGAGAAAACUGAGGUGCAUAUUUCUGUGACUGGCUCUAGCUUACACAGUAAAGAAACAAUAAGAUCAAGAUCUUAAGUCAGGUCUACAGAAUACCAAAAUCCAUAUCCUUCCCCUACCACGUUGUCUUUCAACCUAUAUGAACAACCUAUAUGAACAGCAUUUUAUUCUUGUCUUGGCACUAUUUCUUAUUGUCCUAGUAAGAUUGAAUAAACUGUUAUUUCUAAGCCUUCUUAUAUAUUUGAGUGCCAAAGAGUACCGUCUUCUGGUGAGUGGCCCCUAGAUUUCAGCUUAGAGACUACCUAAAAAUAAUCAUAAGCAGUGUGCUGUUUCAUGCUUCUAUAUUGUUUUCCAAAGAUUUACAUUGUUAUUACAAGAGGGG
rnacentral:lncRNA from 1 species